rnacentral:rRNA from 1 species
UACAGAGGUCCCGAGCGUUGUUCGGAUUCACUGGGCGUAAAGGGUGCGUAGGUGGUGAGGAAAGUCGGAUGUGAAAUCUCCGGGCUUAACCCCGGAAACUGCAUUGGAAACUACCUUGCUAGAGGUUUUGAGGGGGGGACUGGAAUUCUCGGUGUAGCAGUGAAAUGCGUAGAUAUCGAGAGGAACACCAGUGGCGAAGGCGAGUCCCUGGAAAACACCUGACACUGAGGCACGAAAGCUAGGGGAGCAAACAGGA